GACGAACGCUGGCGGCGUGCUUAACACAUGCAAGUCGAACGAAGUGGCGAACGGGUGAGUAACGCGUAAUCAACCUGCCCUUCGGAGGGGGACAACAGUUGGAAACGACUGCUAAUACGGCAUAAGGAAGGAGGGGAUUGCGUCUGAUUAGCUGGUGGGGGGGGUAACGGCCCACAAAGGCGACGAUCCGUAGCCGGUCUGAGAGGAUGAACGGUCACAUUGGAACUGAGACACGGCCCAGACUCCUACGGGAGGCAGCAGUGGGGAAUCUUCGGCAAUGGACGAAAGUCUGACGGAGCAACGCCGCGUGUGUGAUGAAGGCCUUCGGUUGUAAAGCUCUGUUAAUCGGGACGCGGUACCGGAAUAGUAAGCAACGGCUAACUCCGUGCCAGCAGCCGCGGUAAUUC
rnacentral:rRNA from 1 species